GAUGCUUACACAUGCAAGUCGAACGGCAGCACGGACUUCGGUCUGGUGGCGAGUGGCGAACGGGUGAGUAAUGUAUCGGGACGUGCCCAGUAGCGGGGGAUAACUACGCGAAAGCGUAGCUAAUACCGCAUACGCCCUACGGGGGAAAGCAGGGGAUCGCAAGACCUUGCACUAUUGGAGCGGCCGAUAUCGGAUUAGCUAGUUGGUGGGGUAACGGCUCACCAAGGCGACGAUCCGUAGCUGGUUUGAGAGGACGACCAGCCACACUGGGACUGAGACACGGCCCAGACUCCUGCGGGAGGCAGCAGUGGGGAAUUUUGGACAAUGGGGGAAACCCUGAUCCAGCCAUCCCGCGUGUGCGAUGAAGGCCUUCGGGUUGUAAAGCACUUUUGGCAGGAAAGAAACGUCAUGGGCUAAUACCCCGUGAAACUGACGGUACCUGCAGAAUAAGCACCGGCUAACUACGUGCCAGCAGCCGCGGUAAUACGUAGGGUGCAAGCGUUAAUCGGAAUUACUGGGCGUAAAGCGUGCGCAGGCGGUUCGGAAAGAAAGAUGUGAAAUCCCAGAGCUUAACUUUGGAACUGCAUUUUUAACUACCGGGCUAGAGUGUGUCAGAGGGAGGUGGAAUUCCGCGUGUAGCAGUGAAAUGCGUAGAUAUGCGGAGGAACACCGAUGGCGAAGGCAGCCUCCUGGGAUAACACUGACGCUCAUGCACGAAAGCGUGGGGAGCAAACAGGAUUAGAUACCCUGGUAGUCCACGCCCUAAACGAUGUCAACUAGCUGUUGGGGCCUUCGGGCCUUGGUAGCGCAGCAAACGCGUGAAGUUGACCGCC
rnacentral:rRNA from 1 species